GACGAACGCUGGCGGCGUGCCUAAUACAUGCAAGUCGAGCGAAGUUUUUCUGGUGCUUGCCCUAGAAAAACUUAGCGGCGAACGGGUGAGUAACACGUAAAGAACCUGCCUCAUAGACUGGGACAACUAUUGGAAACGAUAGCUAAUACCGGAUAACAGUAUUUCUCGCAUGAGAGAUAUUUAAAAGUUGGUUAUGCUAACACUAUGAGAUGGCUUUGCGGUGCAUUAGCUAGUUGAUGGGGUAAAGGCCCACCAAGGCGACGAUGCAUAGCCGACCUGAGAGGGUGAUCGGCCACACUGGGACUGAGACACGGCCCAGACUCCUACGGGAGGCAGCAGUAGGGAAUCUUCCGCAAUGGGCGAAAGCCUGACGGAGCAACGCCGCGUGAGUGAAGAAGGAUUUCGGUUCGUAAAGCUCUGUUGUUAGGGAAGAAUGGAUAUGUAGUAACUAUACAUGUAAGAGACGGUACCUAACCAGAAAGCCACGGCUAACUACGUG
rnacentral:rRNA from 1 species